UAAAAACAUCGUGUAAGAAGACACAUCACCAUCCAUCAUCGCGGACAAACUGAGAGGGUCUUUCAGCAGUGAUCCGACCAUUGGCAGGGAACCAAGGGCGCGGAGGAAUGGGGCUUGAAAUCACAGAUGGAGGAAUUUUCUGGAUGACCUAGAGAGGCAGAUAAGAUUGGAAAAAAACACAGAAGAGGAUAAAUGACUAUCAAGCCUGGUUGGAGAAUAGGAAACAUCUGAAUCAAACUGCCAACUGUAUAAAUGGACAACAAUGGAGGCCACUGCGUGAAUCAAUCAAUGCGGAUCCCCGCUGAUCCACUUCCGUCAUAGACAUUGCACCCUAAAGACGUUGGGUGGUGGUGCACUUCAACACAGCUGAAACGCCAUCGCACUGUACACAGAUUGGAAACGACCUCAUCGACCCAAGUAUGAUUGUGAAUUUCCACAAUAAUUUUACACCAGUUGAAUAAGCAAGAUCUCCAGAGACCUCACAUUUUGUAGCUGUGGCAUCAGAGUUCACAUGGACAAUGACACCCAGUAGUCGGAGCACAUCCUUGGACCCGUCUCACAUUCCAGCCAGCAAUUACAACACUAGGCUGACCAAUCCAGACCAAUACACCUCCUCAUCAAGACAAAAGACACCAUUGUUUGCAUACAAGAGAAACGCUCUACAUUGUUGUUUUGCUCCAGUCUUGAUAACAAACUUAACUGGAUAAUUAGAGCAAUUGUCAGUCAUUGCUAACUCUCACGUUAAUGUAAAAGGCAUUGACCAUAGGUCAAGUAGUACGUUUGUUGUCUGAAACAAAUAAGUGGUUGGUAAUACAAGGUUACAUUGUCUUUAUCUUAUUGGUCAUAUUUGUAAGACCCUCCCGUAAAGUGUGUUUACGUGCGUAUGUUUGUAUCAUUUCCCUUGUCACGCGCUUGGCCACUGCCCACCUUUCAUAACCUGAUAACUUUCCAACAAAGCCCCAUCAUAUCUGUUUCAUCAAGUCCCAUUUGAAAAGUAAUAAGAGUCCAAGACUUGUAGUGUAACUGUAUAACAUACAUCCAUUAUUCACACUACAUACAGUAUGUGUUAAUGGCCCGAGAAGGAAUUUUGUGAGUGAAAUGGGGUUUGUAAUUUGGUGUGAAAUGAAAUAUUCACUGUGUAAUGGAAAUGACAUCAAUCCUUCUAAAGUAUCCUCACAUAUACGGUAUUUACUCUUGGAAAAUGCUCCAUCCUGAAUACGAUUUAAGUUAACUUGGUGUUCACUCAUGCGGCCACAAUAACAUAGAAACUCACAAACACUUAACUCUUUCACUGCCUGUGAUAAAUAAAAAGGUCAGACAAAAUAGUCACCAAUGUUUGGGUCAAUGUGAAUGGCUGUUUGGAAAGUGGCCAUAAAUGAUAAAAAUACAGUAAACCAGACAUGUCCCACCUUUGCAGUUGCAUGACAUGGCAUAUUGGACUGUACUGUUGGAAGAUUCCACCCCACCCCCCUUGUGCGGCUAUUUGAGCUGUCUGCGGCAAAGGUUGCUCACCACUGCUGGUGUUCAGCUACC